rnacentral:lncRNA from 1 species
GGUUCUUGAAAGAUUGAAAAAUUAUGUUUACAGUCGUGUCCGUGCAUUUUCUCAUGAACCAUUCAACCAAAGCUUUUGAAAUUUUUAUAUGUUGUUACUGAUGACAAAAUAGAGGUCAAGUUCAAUAAUGACGAUUUUGACUUUUACCGUUCAGGAGUUAUGGUUCCUGAAAGAUCGUAAAAUGGCGUUUCCAUUCACUUUAUUGCAUUUACUCGUGAACCAUUCAAUCUAAGCUUUUCAAAUUUUAAUAUGUUGAUACUGAUGACAAAAUAGAGGUCAAAUUUGAUAUUGACGAUUUUCACUUUCACCAUUCAUCAGUAAUGGUUCUUGUGAUAUUGCCAGGACACAAAUAAAUGUUAAUAAAUCCGGUUUGCUGUCGUUGUGACAGCCUCUUGUAUAAGAUUGUUAAGAUAUUUUGUGCAUCAGUAAUCAAGAAUUUCGUAGUAAUACUAUAGUUUGACAUGUAUUAACAUCCC